rnacentral:rRNA from 1 species
UACAGAGGUCUCAAGCGUUGUUCGGAUUCAUUGGGCGUAAAGGGUGCGUAGGCGGCGCGGUAAGUCGGGUGUGAAAUCUUGGAGCUUAACUCCGAAACUGCAUUCGAUACUGCCGUGCUUGAGGACUGGAGAGGAGACUGGAAUUUACGGUGUAGCGGUGAAAUGCGUAGAUAUCUGGAGGAACACCGGUGGCGAAGGCGGCAUCCUGGACCAUUACUGACGCUGAUCCGCGAAAGCUAGGGGAGCAAACGGG